CACUGGAGUCAGUGCCUUUGGGAAAGGAAGCUGGGAGGAAGGAGAAAAGUCAAAGACAGGACAGCAGGUGACAGGAGUGAGCCUGACCUCACCAUUCAAGUGGAACUGCCCCUUGGAGUUGGAACUAACCUUUGCUUCUACUAGAAGAGCUUUUAGAAGAAAUCUGAGAGUAAAGAAGAGAUAAAGUCUUUUCUACUUGCUGCACUUAUUGAAUCACUGGAGACUAUUGUGUACUUUGACUUUAAGUGUGAAUCCUCUCCUGACCUUCUAGAUGCUACUUACAUUCUGAUCCUAAAAUCUAAGUAGUUUCUGUUUGUUGUUCCUGAGGAUUUUGAAUACAUGGUUUUUGCUGAGCCAGUGGGCUGAGAACAGCAGACAGAAAGUGGUGAAGGAAAAGUGUGUAAAUACCAGUAAGGAGACUACCUUGGGAAUAGAAGGAAAUUGUCAUUGGCACAGUAACCUUAAAGAUGGACGUCUAUUAACUUCUGAGUAAAUGAACCAACUGGUUUGAGAACAAGGAAAUGGGCUGCAUGCAGAGUCUUUUGUGCAGCAAGGAGACUGACAGAGGGAACUUUUUGCUGGUGGUUUUCUUCCAUGCUUGAUCUCAGGUAGAGAGAGACUGACAGAAAGAUCAUGCCAUCCAGACUCCCACUUUUCCAUAAGAGGUCCCACACCACUGCUCAACCAUGCCUCACAAUUUCCCCAUACUAGUGGUUUGUAUUGUGUGGAAAACUGAGAAACGCAAUGCAUGUACAAACUAUUGUAUUUACUGUUGACUGUAAAACAUUAAUCCCCCAAUAAAGAAAUAAUAAAAAAAGAAGAAUGUGAAGAACCUUGACCUCUCUCCUUUAGAAGAAGAAAUCAUUUCCAAAUAUCAGUUCUUUCCUUCCUGAACCCUGUUGCAGAUUUGGGUCAUGAUGAAGUAGAAUCUGAGUACUCUGAAUAGAAGUACUCCAGGGACCAAUUUAUACUGGAGCAAAGGGAAAAAAAUAAGAGUGGUAGCUCUUCUGUGGCAUUGCAUAUCCAACAAGUCUUUGCCAAUGUCCUUCACAAUUGACCUGAAUUAGGCAAGAAGGCCUCUCCAACUGUGAGCACCCCUGGGAGUGGUAUAGUCAUGCUUAAGGCAAAUCUCAACAUUCAGGAAAUUUCUGAAAGGUAGGAAGGUGGGAAGGAAGGAACAUGCGGAAGACUCUAUCAAAAAGCAAUGAGUAGGAUAUAUAUAAUUUUUUUUUGGCAGGGGUGUCCAGAUAGAACAGGGAUGGGUAACAUCUGACCCAUGAGACAUGUAAAGUUUGCAGAAUCAUUUGAUCUGGCCCUGCUAAGGCAACCAUGGGGGGGGGGGCACAUCAAAUAAAUAUAAAUUUUAAAUUUAUUCUAUAUAUGGCCUGUGAA